rnacentral:tRNA from 1 species
AGGACUGUAGUUAAGUAUAACAUUUGAUUUGCACUCAAAAAGUAUUGGUAACAAUCUGUCUUA